rnacentral:rRNA from 1 species
UACGGAGGGUGCGAGCGUUGUCCGGAAUCAUUGGGCGUAAAGGGCGCGUAGGUGGCCCGGUCAGUCCGUGGUGAAAGCGCGGGGCUCAACCCCGCGUCGGCCAUGGAUACUGCUGGGCUGGAGCACUGUAGAGGCAGGCGGAAUUCCGGGUGUAGCGGUGGACUGCGUAGAGAUCCGGAAGAACACCGGUGGCGAAGGCGGCCUGCUGGGCAGUUGCUGACACUGAGGCGCGACAGCGUGGGGAGCAAACAGG